rnacentral:rRNA from 1 species
GAUGAACGCUGGCGGCGUGCCUAAUACAUGCAAGUCGAGCUAACAGAUAAUGAUCUUGCUCCUUUGACGUUAGCGGCGGACUGGUGAGUAACACGUUUAUAACCUACCUCUAUUACUGGGAUAACUUCGUGAAACCGUAUCUAAUACCGGAUAACAUAUUGAUCCUCAUUUUUCAUUUUUUAAAUUCGGCUUUUCUGUCACUUAUACAUGUAUCCUCGCCUUAUUAUCUAGUUGGUAAGGUAACGUCUUACCAAGGCAACGAUAAGUAGCCGACCUGAGAGGGUGAUCGGCCACACUGGAAAGGAGACACGGACCAGACGAAUAAGGGAGGCAGCAGUAGGGAAUGGUCAGCAAUGGGCGAAAGCAUGACGGAGCAAAGCCGCGUGAGUGAUGAAGGACUUCGGAGCGUAAAAAUCUGUUAUCAGGGAAGAAAAAAAGAGUAAGAAAAAGUGCACAGAGUGACGGUACCGGAUAAGAAAGCAACGGAUAACUACGUG